rnacentral:rRNA from 1 species
GCGCAGCAGGCGAGAAUACUUUACAAUGUGCGAAAGCACGAUAAGGGAACUCUGAGUGCCUCCUAAGGAGGCUGUUCAGGUGUCUAAAAAGCACCUGGAGUAAGGGCUGGGUAAGACCGGUGCCAGCCGCCGCGGUAACACCGGCAGCCCAGGUGGUAGCCACUUUUAUUGGGUCUAAAGCGUCCGUAGCCGGUUGAGUAAGUUCCUUGGGAAAUUUGGCUGCUCAACAGUCAAGCUUCCAGGGAAUACUGCUCGACUUGGGGACUGGGGAGAGGUCAGAGGUACUCCAGGGGUAGGGGUGAAAAUCCAUUAAUCCCUGGGGGACCACCGGUAGCGAAGGCGUCUGACCAGACCAGGUCCGACGGUGAGGGACGAAGGCUAGGGGCGCGAACCGG